rnacentral:tRNA from 1 species
UGCCAGGUGGCUCAGUGGUAAAGAAUCUGCCUUCCAAGUAGAAAACCCGGGUUAGAUUCCUGGGUUGGUAA